rnacentral:rRNA from 1 species
AACGAACGCUGGCGGCAGGCUUAACACAUGCAAGUCGAACGCAUCCUUCGGGGUGAGAGGCAGACGGGUGAGUAACGCGUGGGAACGUGCCCUUCAGUUCGGGAUAACCCAGGGAAACUUGGGCUAAUACCGGAUACGUGCGAGAGCAGAAAGAUUUAUCGCUGAAGGAUCGGCCCGCGUCUGAUUAGCUAGUUGGUGGGGUAAUGGCCCACCAAGGCGACGAUCAGUAGCUGGUCUGAGAGGAUGAUCAGCCACAUUGGGACUGAGACACGGCCCAAACUCCUACGGGAGGCAGCAGUGGGGAAUAUUGGACAGUGGGCGCAAGCCUGAUCCAGCCAUGCCGCGUGAGUGAUGAAGGCCUUAGGGUUGUAAAGCUCUUUCGUCCGGGACGAUAAUGACGGUACCGGAAGAAGAAGCCCCGGCUAACUUCGUGCCAGCAGCCGCGGUAA